GUGGGGAAUAUUGGACAAUGGGGGGAACCCUGAUCCAGCCAUGCCGCGUGUGUGAAGAAGGCCUUUUGGUUGUAAAGCACUUUAAGCGAGGAGGAGGCUACCGAGAUUAAUACUCUUGGAUAGUGGACGUUACUCGCAGAAUAAGCACCGGCUAACUCUGUGCCAGCAGCCGCGGUAAUACAGAGGGUGCGAGCGUUAAUCGGAUUUACUGGGCGUAAAGCGUGCGUAGGCGGCUUUUUAAGUCGGAUGUGAAAUCCCCGAGCUUAACUUGGGAAUUGCAUUCGAUACUGGGAAGCUAGAGUAUGGGAGAGGAUGGUAGAAUUCCAGGUGUAGCGGUGAAAUGCGUAGAGAUCUGGAGGAAUACCGAUGGCGAAGGCAGCCAUCUGGCCUAAUACUGACACUGAGGUGCGAAAGCAUGGGGAGCAAACAGGAUUAGAAACCCCGGUAGUCC
rnacentral:rRNA from 1 species